rnacentral:rRNA from 1 species
UGGCGGACGGGUGAGUAAUGUCUGGGAAACUGCCUGAUGGAGGGGGAUAACUACUGGAAACGGUAGCUAAUACCGCAUAACGUCGCAAGACCAAAGAGGGGGACCUUCGGGCCUCUUGUCAUCGGAUGUGCCCAGAUGGGAUUAGCUAGUAGGUGGGGUAACGGCUCACCUAGGCGACGAUCCCUAGCUGGUCUGAGAGGAUGACCAGCCACACUGGAACUGAGACACGGUCCAG